rnacentral:rRNA from 1 species
AGUGAACGCUGGCGGUAGGCCUAACACAUGCAAGUCGAACGGCAGCACAGUAAGAGCUUGCUCUUACGGGUGGCGAGUGGCGGACGGGUGAGGAAUACAUCGGAAUCUACUUUUUCGUUGGGGAUAACGUAGGGAAACUUACGCUAAUACCGCAUACGACCUACGGGUGAAAGCAUGGGAUCUUCGGACCUUGCGCGAUUGAAUGAGCCGAUGUCGGAUUAGCUAGUUGGCGGGGUAAAGGCCCACCAAGGCGACGAGUCGUAGCUGGUCUGAGAGGAUGAUCGGCGACACUGAAGCAGAAACACGGUCCAGACCCCUAGCAGAGGGAGCAGUGGUGAAUAUUCGACCAUGGGCGAAAGACUAAUCCAGCCAUACAGCGUGGGUGAGGAAGGCGUUGAGGUUGUAAAGACUUUGUGUUGGGAGAGAAAAGCAGCAGGUUUAUGCCCCGAUGUACUGACGGUACACAAUGAAGAAGCACCGGCUAACUUCGUG